rnacentral:lncRNA from 1 species
UUAAUUACAUUGCAUUUAUAUCAAAUGAUCAAUUUCUAUUCUCUUCAUUUUUUUCUCUCGCUUUAAAAUCUAUAUUGUCAAAGUAUGUUAGAAUAUGUUUCACAUCUAUAGAUGUUGAUCAUCACACAUUUCCGGUAAUCCCUUUUAUAUACAAUUUUACCAAAUUAUGAAGUUUUUCCCUGCAAACAAUAUGACAACAUUAAUACAAUAAAUGGAGAAUGCACACUCUCGUUUCUACCACACAGUGUUGUCAGUACAAUGAAAUUGUAUGCGACUGCCAUACAAGUGAGAGAUUAAGCUAGAUAUAAGCUACGAUUUUCUAUAUAUGGAAGUGUACCAAGUCAGGAAAUUGAUAGUUGUUUUUCAUACGUUUGAUGUUUGUGAGCUUUAGAUUUGGUCUUUUGUUAAGAACUUUUCGAUUUGAAUAUUUCUCUGAGUUCAGUAUUUUUGUUACUUUACCUUUUACACACAACUUAUGAAUUCUGACAUGAGACCCUUAGCUAAUAGUAAGAAUAGAAACAUUUUGAAGGGUCAUAAAAAUAAAAUGUAUGAUGGCACCAUAAAAGGGGAAGAGAAAGGAGGUUUAAUAAGAUACAACGUUAUAUCUCAAAAUGCACCCCUCAUGUAGUUACACGUAAUAUGUAGACAGUAUUUAUCCUUGUGAUUAUCAGGUUGCUUGCAUGUUGAUAUUGUAUAAUAUCAGGUACGAGUCACAAUAUGAAGCUUUUUGUCGAGUUAGCGUAGCGAAUGAGAUGAAAAAGCCUUCAUAUUGUGUCAAGCUGCUGAUAUUUUACAAUAUCAAUUUGCAUAUAACCUGACAAUCGAUUUAUCGGGCUGUUUUUUGCGUCUUUUUGAAAGUGUUUUCUUAGUUUCUUCAGCAACCGGAAGAUGAUAAGUUCGGAACAAACUUAUCAACGUCGGUUCAAACAUUAUGGCGUUGCUGAUAUGUCUUGGUUAUUAAGUUAUUUAGACCGGAUCAACUUAUUUGAAGUCACAAAGCCAUGAUAUGCAAUUACAUUAAGAGCUGAGCAGAGUGAUAUAGACAGUGGGACGACCGAUAAAUUCUUAUAUAUAUAUGUAUUAUGUUAUUUUCUCAUUCAAGAUAAUCAUAUAUUGUGUUUUUAACGUAACGGUAAUAAAUC